rnacentral:rRNA from 1 species
UACGUAGGUGGCAAGCGUUGUCCGGAUUUACUGGGCGUAAAGAGCGCGCAGGCGGUCGAUCAAGUCGCGUGUGAAAGCCCCCGGCUCAACUGGGGAGGGUCACGCGAUACUGAUCGACUCGAAGGCAGGAGAGGGUAGUGGAAUUCCCGGUGUAGUGGUGAAAUGCGCAGAUAUCAGGAGGAACACCGAUGGCGAAGGCAGGAUCUCUGGGCCAACUGACUGACGUGGAGAAGCGAAAGCAUGGGG